rnacentral:tRNA from 1 species
GUGGUCUAGCGGUUAGAACGCUGGCCUUGUAAUCCUGGGAUAUCGGGUUCGAUUCCCGAC